CAGAGUUUGAGAAACACUGUUUUAGAACAAGGAACUGCCAAAGCACCUUUGAGUAUUCCUUACCAAAGAAAAAUCUAUGGAAUUCACGGGUUUGCCAUAAGGAUGCUGUGGAUUGAAGUCUGGGGUGCUGUCGAGUUAGUUUAUAUGGGUUUUCAUCAGUUGAAGGUCCUGACUUAUAUAAGUAGCCAUAAUUGCUAGGUGUAUUGUGCUUCCU
rnacentral:lncRNA from 11 species